GCCCCAGUGGCCUAAUGGAUAAGGCAUUGG
rnacentral:piRNA from 4 species